rnacentral:lncRNA from 1 species
GGGGGUAGAGGAGGGGGAAUAAAGCUGUUGUGCUCCUUACAAAUUGAAGUUGCUUCAACUAUUGACUAAGAUAAUCUGCGGAAAAGGGGGAGGCAGAUAUGUAGCAGAUGCUGUGUGUUUGUAAGAGAAGCAUAAUACAUUGCUAAUGGCUAAUUUUAAGAGAGGAUGAGGGAUCUAUGUGGGUUAGAAAGAAAGAAGUGAGAGGCGGUGAGAGAGAAGGGAAUGAGGAAAGAAGAAAAUAAUAAAAACCCUAAACUAUGUCUUUAAUAGUGGGUUAAAGGCUGAAAAGUUUCUUUCAAAUUAUGUAAAAUAUGGGCUAAAUAGGGUAAGAGCUUCAAAUAUGAGCCAUUUUCGGUUGGGCUAUUAGGUCAAGUGACAUGUGCUGUAAUCCUUUAAAAAAAAAACGUAUUUGUAAAAUUUCCCAUAAACUUCAUUCUGAACUUACGACACUAUUUAUAUUUAAGUCCUAACAACACUCCUAGUGCUCCACCGCAAUUUAUGAAUAAAUUAUUGCAAUGUUACAAUACAACUUGUACUAUACUCUUGGUGAUUCGCCAAAAUUUAUUGCAACCUCAUCUCAUCAGAAAUUCCUGGUGAUCCGUCAUUAGUUUUGGCAAGGCGAAUUUUGUGACAUUCGCCCGAAAUCAAACUCCAACUUCUAUCUCAAAGAUAUUUCUGCACAACUUUUCAAAUGGCACCGAAAUAGCUAAGCUUAUUUGUGUAACCCAUUCAUAUAAACCUCAUCUAGUGGGUCAAGGAGCUUAUCACCAUGAACAAGUGCCUUAAAGUUUGGACUCUAAAUAUCCUAACCUUCAAAUGCUGGGCCUUAACAUGAGCCUCAAACUUGAUAAUUCUAAAACGGCAAAUCCUACGAGAAGAGAGAGAGAGAGAGCGCUUACCAUGAAAUCUCGAAGAGCGAUUGGGCCUACCACGGCUCAUUUUGGACUGUUUUUGUAAUCGUCUUUGUUCUAAUAAGCCGGAGAUCUAUCGCCGCAACAGUUCCGCGGCUGUUCACUAUUCCUUUCCGCCGUGAUAAUCGCCGCUCGUGGCGGGCCUCGGCAGUACGCUGCGGAGGUGCGACAGAUAGUUUACACCUCCUUGAAGCUACGCGGUUGAAAGUUAAAAGUUGAGUUCGAGUAAUAGAUAGCGGAGUAAGAACAGUGGCGGAUGCAAGGUAAAAGAAUUUGUCCAUAACUUUUGAAUAAACUUAUGCGUAAAAAUAUAUUAAAAUUGGAACAAAUAGUAUAUUUGUACCCAUAAUUUUAAAAAUAUAAUGGGUUCAAUAUUAAAAACCUUAAAAUUAAACCCAUAAACUUUGAAUCUUGUAUCUGCCCGAGUAAGAAUCAUUCUAAGUAAAAGAAAGCAGCAAAACGAAAAAUAUUACUACUACUAGGUGCAUAUAAGUUAAAAAAGACAGAGAGGGUAUUUGACUAAGUUGGUCAAACUGGCUUAUAAGCUUUUUUAGGUUUAUUUACGUGUUUGAUAAAUACCCAAAGUGUUUAUAAGCCAUGUGCUUAUAAGCUAAAAUCAAUCAUAAAUCAUAAGUUGGUCAUCCCCAACUUAUGGCUUUUUAGCUUAUAAACACUUUUAGUUUGACCAAAGUUUUUACUAGUUUAUCCCUAAUAAUAUUUUCUAAUUCACAAAAUAUUUUUUCCAAAAUAAAAUUUCUAACUUUCUUUUCAUUUCAUAUUCGUUUUUCAUCUUUUUCUCAACAAAGAAACUUUUUAGUUUAUAAUCUUUUGUAAAGUUUUCAAGGAUAUCUUAGUUAUUUUAAUUAAAAAAAUAAAAUAAAUU